rnacentral:rRNA from 1 species
CCUACGGGAGGCAGCAGUAGGGAAUAUUGCUCAAUGGGGGAAACCCUGAAGCAGCAACGCCGCGUGGAGGAUGAAGGUUCUCGGAUUGUUAACUCCUUUUGUUAGAGAAGAUAAUGACGGUAUCUAACGAAUAAGCACCGGCUAACUCCGUGCCAGCAGCCGCGGUAAGACGGAGGGUGCAAGCGUUACUCGGAAUCACUGGGCGUAAAGAGCGCGUAGGCGGGAUAGCAAGUCAGAUGUGAAAUCCAAUGGCUUAACCAUAGAACUGCAUUUGAAACUGUUAUUCUAGAGUAUGGGAGAGGUAGGUGGAAUUCUUGGUGGAGGGGUAAAAUCCGUAGAGAUCAAGAGGAAUACUCAUUGCGAAGGCGACCUGCUAGAACAUAACUGACGCUGAUGCGCGAAAGCGUGGGGAGCGAACAGGAUUAGAUACCCCAGUAGUC